AUCUCCUACGGGGGGCAGCAGUGAGGAAUAUUGGUCAAUGGCCGAAGGGCUGAACCAGCCAAGCCGCGUGAAGGAAUAAGGCCCUACGGGUCGUAAACUUCUUUAGUCAGGGAACAAAGGGUGCCACGUGUGGCGCUGUGAGUGUACCUGAAGAAUAAGCAUCGGCUAACUCCGUGCCAGCCGCCUCGGUAAUACGGAGGCUGCGAGCGUUAUCCGUAUUUAUUGGGUUUAAAGGGUGCGUAGGCGUUUUUU
rnacentral:rRNA from 1 species